GACCUGGUGAGUUCGAACAGUUUAACACAUGACAGCAACACUGGUCGACCGUCACUGCGGCGUGACGCGUUACGACUGCGCCUCGCCGCUCCAGUCGGGGAUGGAGAAAGUCUUGGUCUGUCCCUUCUGCUCGCCUAUGGUGUAGUCCACGCGGAUGCAGACGUGCCGGGCGCUGUCCUCCGACGGGUACAUGGACACCUCCCCCGCCACCGCCGUGUCCUGCACCACCCUCACCGGGGCGUCGAAGUACAGCACCGCCUGCUUCCAGUGCGUCUCCGCCUUGAACGGCGACGUGGAGAGCACGAGCGGCUUGUCCGGGCACGAGAAGGUCACCGUGAAGUAGACGCACAGGCCGCUCGCCGCCGACGAGCCGAACGACUCGCAGCGGAACUGGCCCUUCACCGAGCGCAGCUCCUCGGCGGUCACCGUGUACAGGUCGAGCUCGGCGAAGCGGGCCGGGUGCGAGAGCACGUCCUCGAUCGACACGAAGUUCACCGUGAUGUCCGAGUUCAUGAUGCAUCUGCGGGCGAAGUCGGACAUGCAGGACAUGUCGACGCCGUACUGCUCCUUGACGGUGUACCAGAAGUGCAGGCGGUCCUCCACCACCGGGUCGCACACCGGCGCGAUGUAGAGCUCGGCUUUGCUCGGCAGGAUGAGGCCGCCCGGCUUCAGCCACUUGUCGCGCGCGUACACCACCGAGUUGAGCAUGGACUCGUGCAGGAGCGCGUAGCCCAUCCACUCGCUCACGAUCACCUCCACCGGCUCCGGCAGGUCCACCGUCUCCACGGUGCCGCGGAUCACCUCCACGCGGUCCUGCAGGUUGUUGUGUCGGACGAUCCUCACCGCCUCCUCGGCGAUGGAGCAGGCCUCGACGGCGUACACUUUCUUGGCGCCGGCCUGUGCACAGAAGAUGCUCAAAACGCCGGUUCCUGCGCCGACGUCCAGCACGACUUUGCCCCGGAUCAGCUCGCUGUUCCGCAUGAUCGCCGUGCGGUACGUGUUGGUGCGGACGUAGUCCGCGAUCAUGUCCUCGUGGAUCGUCACAUCGGUGUAGCUGUCGAAAUACAGUCUCUCCUGACGGCUUUUGUCUAA
rnacentral:lncRNA from 1 species